rnacentral:rRNA from 1 species
GACGAACGCUGUCGGCGUGCUUAACACAUGCAAGUCGAACGGAAAGGCCCUGCUUUUGUGGGGUGCUCGAGUGGCGAACGGGUGAGCAACACGUGAGUAACCUGCCCUUGACUUUGGGAUAACUUCAGGAAACUGGGGCUAAUACCGGAUAGGAGCUCCUGCUGCAUGGUGGGGGUUGGAAAGUUUCGGCGGUUGGGGAUGGACUCGCGGCUUAUCAGCUUGUUGGUGGGGUAGUGGCUUACCAAGGCUUUGACGGGUAGCCGGCCUGAGAGGGUGACCGGCCACAUUGGGACUGAGAUACGGCCCAGACUCCUACGGGAGGCAGCAGUGGGGAAUAUUGCACAAUGGGCGGAAGCCUGAUGCAGCAACGCCGCGUGCGGGAUGACGGCCUUCGGGUUGUAAACCGCUUUCGCCUGUGACGAAGCGUGAGUGACGGUAAUGGGUAAAGAAGCACCGGCUAACUACGUGCCAGCAGCCGCGGUGAUACGUAGGGUGCGAGCGUUGUCCGGAUUUAUUGGGCGUAAAGGGCUCGUAGGUGGUUGAUCGCGUCGGAAGUGUAAUCUUGGGGCUUAACCCUGAGCGUGCUUUCGAUACGGGUUGACUUGAGGAAGGUAGGGGAGAAUGGAAUUCCUGGUGGAGCGGUGGAAUGCGCAGAUAUCAGGAGGAACACCAGUGGCGAAGGCGGUUCUCUGGGCCUUUCCUGACGCUGAGGAGCGAAAGCGUGGGGAGCGAACAGGCUUAGAUACCCUGGUAGUCCACGCUGUAAACGGUGGGUACUAGGUGUGGGGUCCAUUCCACGGGUUCCGUGCCGUAGCUAACGCUUUAAGUACCCCGCCUGGGGAGUACGGCCGCAAGGCUAAAACUCAAAGGAAUUGACGGGGCCCCGCACAAGCGGCGGAGCAUGCGGAUUAAUUCGAUGCAACGCGUAGAACCUUACCUGGGUUUGACAUGGAUCGGGAGUGCUCAGAGAUGGGUGUGCCUCUUUUGGGGUCGGUUCACAGGUGGUGCAUGGCUGUCGUCAGCUCGUGUCGUGAGAUGUUGGGUUAAGUCCCGCAACGAGCGCAACCCUUGUUCACUGUUGCCAGCACGUUAUGGUGGGGACUCAGUGGAGACCGCCGGGGUCAACUCGGAGGAAGGUGGGGAUGACGUCAAGUCAUCAUGCCCCUUAUGUCCAGGGCUUCACGCAUGCUACAAUGGCUGGUACAGAGAGUGGCGAGCCUGUGAGGGUGAGCGAAUCUCGGAAAGCCGGUCUCAGUUCGGAUUGGGGUCUGCAACUCGACCUCAUGAAGUCGGAGUCGCUAGUAAUCGCAGAUCAGCAACGCUGCGGUGAAUACGUUCCCGGGGCU